rnacentral:lncRNA from 1 species
UGUUUGUUCUUAUGGCACAUCCUUCUUUUGUAAAUAGGGAUCUGGCUGAUCCAUUAUGAUGCAGAUCCACAGGAAUUAGCAGUAAAUUUUGGAAUAGGUUCCCUUUUGCAGACAAUCCUGCCCCUUAACAAUGCAAAAGUCCUGCCAAUAUCCAUGUGUUCUUUCAAUUUCUAACAUUUUAAAGUGAUAUUUUUAAAGAUUACAGGACACUCCUUGGCCCUCUUUCAAUGUUUGGAAAGAGGAAAAAAACUGAAAUUGUGCAUGCGCAUGUAGGAAAAGGGGGGAAAGCAUUUCAAGCAGAGGCUUUCUUUAGGAUAUGGAUUGCAUAAAUUUAGUCCCAAGUCAUUCAGGGCCAAUUAUUACCUCAGCCCAGCUGUGCUCCGGACAUUCAUCGGAGCAUCUGUUUUAUUAACUGGGACUGUGAGAGACUGAAUCUUUUUUUAAUCUGCCUUAGAACUAAAGUGUAAAGUCAGUUCUUUGUAUUUUAAGCUUUAACUUGUUAACAUAUUUGUUGGCUUUUGAAGAUAAGGCUCCUUUUGAUGUUGGAUUUAGUGUGUCACAAAAUGGAUACAUUCAUGACUUGUGAUCUGAAUUCUGCAUUGAGUUGUGAACCAUGUGUCAACAGUCCAGAAAACUUUUGUUACAUUUAUGGGGAAUUUGUGAUCCAGAAACAUCAAAGAAAUGUAACAUCUUUUAUUAGAAAAGUGUACCAUGCCUACUUUGGAGUCAAACCGUGAAGCCAAACCAUAUACUUCACACAAAGUUUGUUUUAUGUGCAUAUUUAAGGAAGUGGUCUACAGGCAAAAAGCAUUCAGAUUUUGUGUGCCAAAGACAUGGAAGGAGCCAAAACAUCAACUGCUCUUGAGAUGUUAAAGGUGAUUCACUUUUUUAAAAAGAAGAUAGUUUUCUAUCAAAAUCUUCUAUCUGGCUGACAGUUUGUCAUGACCCAGAAAUUCUAGUUCUGCUUUUAUCGGAAACACUGGAAGAUUUCCCCAGUAAUUCUGAUCCUAAUAUUUGAGCAUGAUAUAGAAAGUCAAGACAGCUAUUUAUUCAUCUUAUCAGCAAGAGAUUUGGAUUUUGCUAAACUCUUACUCUUCAUCUUUAAAAAUUACUGGAACAUAAAUAUAUAUUUGUACAUCCCAAAGAAAGUUAUGAGAAUUUGGAAUUGGUUCUCACAAACAUAAAAAUAAAAUGCUUCUGGAACAUGGCCAUACAAUCCGGAAAACUCUCAUAAGUAUUAUGACUGUAUUGGCAUAUUAUUAAGGUGCAUACUUUUGGUGCAACAGAGUAA